AAUCUCCUGCAGCGUUCGAGCAGUACUGGGUGUUUCCUGAACCUGCAUUUGCCCCGGAAGCUUUUUACCCGUCAUGGUGUGCAUGCCUGUUCGAUCAGGAAGCCUGAUUGGCGGGAAUCGGUUUCCACUUGAACCUCCGGUUCAAGGACGAAAGUAUCAGACGGCGCAGGCGGGAGAUCU
rnacentral:other from 2 species